rnacentral:rRNA from 1 species
AACGAACGCUGGCGGCAUGCCUAACACAUGCAAGUCGAACGAGACCUUCGGGUCUAGUGGCGCACGGGGGCGUAACGCGUGGGAACCUGCCCUUAGGUUCGGAAUAACUCCCCGAAAGGGGUGCUAAUACCGGAUAAUGUCUUCGGACCAAAGAUUUAUCGCCUUUGGAUGGGCCCGCGUUGGAUUAGCUAGUUGGUAGUGUAAAAGCCUACCAAGGCGACGAUCCAUAGCUGGUCUGAGAGGAUGAUCAGCCACGCUGGGACUGAGACACGGCCCAGACUCCUACGGGAGGCAGCAGUGGGGAAUAUUGGACAAUGGGCGAAGGCCUGAUCCAGCAAUGCCGCGUGAGUGAUGAAGGCCUUAGGGUUGUAAAGCUCUUUUACCCGGGAUGAUAAUGACAGUACCGGGAGAAUAAGCUCCGGCUAACUCCGUG